GUUGUAUGGUUAAGUGACUAAGCGUACACGGUGGAUGCCUGGGCAGUCAGAGGCGAUGAAGGACGUACUAACUUGCGAUAAGCGCAGAUAAGGCAGUAAGAGCCGUUUGAGUCUGCGAUUUCCGAAUGGGGAAACCCAACUGCAUAAGCAGUUACUGUUAACUGAAUACAUAGGUUAACAGAGCAAACCGGGGGAACUGAAACAUCUAAGUACCCCGAGGAGAAGAAAUCAACCGAGAUUCCGGUAGUAGCGGCGAGCGAACCUGGAUUAGCCCUUAAGCACUCGGUGAAGUAGGUGAACAAGCUGGAAAGCUUGGCGAUACAGGGUGAUAGCCCCGUAACCGACGCUUCAUCGAGCGUGAAAUCGAGUAGGGCGGGACACGUGAUAUCCUGUCUGAAUAUGGGGGGACCAUCCUCCAAGGCUAAAUACUCCUGACUGACCGAUAGUGAACCAGUACCGUGAGGGAAAGGCGAAAAGAACCCCUGUGAGGGGAGUGAAAUAGAACCUGAAACCGUGUACGUACAAGCAGUAGGAGCACCUUCGUGGUGUGACUGCGUACCUUUUGUAUAAUGGGUCAGCGACUUAUAUUCAGUGGCAAGGUUAACCGUAUAGGGGAGCCGUAGCGAAAGCGAGUCUUAACUGGGCGCUCAGUCUCUGGAUAUAGACCCGAAACCGGGUGAUCUAGCCAUGGGCAGGUUGAAGGUUGAGUAACAUCAACUGGAGGACCGAACCGACUAAUGUUGAAAAAUUAGCGGAUGACUUGUGGCUAGGGGUGAAAGGCCAAUCAAACUCGGAGAUAGCUGGUUCUCCCCGAAAGCUAUUUAGGUAGCGCCUCGGACGAAUACUACUGGGGGUAGAGCACUGUUAAGGCUAGGGGGUCAUCCCGACUUACCAACCCUUUGCAAACUCCGAAUACCAGUAAGUACUAUCCGGGAGACACACGGCGGGUGCUAACGUCCGUCGUGGAGAGGGAAACAACCCAGACCGCCAGCUAAGGUCCCAAAGUAUUGCUAAGUGGGAAACGAUGUGGGAAGGCUCAGACAGCUAGGAUGUUGGCUUAGAAGCAGCCAUCAUUUAAAGAAAGCGUAAUAGCUCACUAGUCGAGUCGGCCUGCGCGGAAGAUGUAACGGGGCUAAGCAAUACACCGAAGCUGCGGCAAUGUCUUUUAGACAUUGGGUAGGGGAGCGUUCUGUAAGCCGUUGAAGGUGAAUCGUAAGGUUUGCUGGAGGUAUCAGAAGUGCGAAUGCUGACAUGAGUAACGACAAAGGGGGUGAAAAACCUCCUCGCCGGAAGACCAAGGGUUCCUGUCCAACGUUAAUCGGGGCAGGGUGAGUCGACCCCUAAGGUGAGGCCGAAAGGCGUAAUCGAUGGGAAACGGGUUAAUAUUCCCGUACUUCUGACUAUUGCGAUGGGGGGACGGAGAAGGCUAGGUGGGCCAGGCGACGGUUGUCC
rnacentral:rRNA from 1 species